rnacentral:piRNA from 1 species
GGUCAACCUGUAACUUGUUCAACUGCU